AUUCUUUUAGUAUAAUUAGUACAGUUGACUUCCAAUCAAUUAGCUUCAGUUCUACCUGAAAAAGAAUA
rnacentral:tRNA from 1 species